AGUGAACGCUGGCGGUAGGCCUAACACAUGCAAGUCGAACGGCAGCACAGGAGAGCUUGCUCUCUGGGUGGCGAGUGGCGGACGGGUGAGGAAUACAUCGGAAUCUGCCCAGUCGUGGGGGAGAACGCAGGGAAACUUACGCUAUUACCGCAUACGACCUUCGGGUGAAAGAGGGGGAUCGCAAGACCUCUCGCGCUUUGGUGAGCCGAUGUCGGAUUAGCUAGUUGGCGGGGUAAUGGCCCACCAAGGCGACGAUCCGUAGCUGGUCUGAGAGGAUGAUCAGCCACACUGGAACUGAGACACGGUCCAGACUCCUACGGGAGGCAGCAGUGGGGAAUAUUGGACAAUGGGCGCAAGCCUGAUCCAGCCAUACCGCGUGGGUGAAGAAGGCCUUCGGGUUGUAAAGCCCUUUUGUUGGGAAAGAAAACUUUCAGGCUAAUACCCUGGGAGGAUGACGGUACCCAAAGAAUAAGCACCGGCUAACUUCGUG
rnacentral:rRNA from 1 species